CUUUUGCAUGAUCUCAUUGAAGUCUAUGGUACACGCUUCGCUUAGUAGGCCUGAGCAUAUGAUCCGACUUUUCCACCUCCAAAUCUGAGACUGCUCAGUCACUGUCCUAUACAUCCCUGUGAAUUGCUUAGCAUCAAGAUGCCUUUUUUUGAAUUGUUUCUGUAGAUGAGUCCAGUUUUGCUUACCUUGAUCAAGAUUAGCUCUUUGUAAUUAUGGAAUUAUGCUCUCUGUUUUCCAACUCUAGUUUAGUAAUCCAGUACGUAUUGAUGGAGUGGAUACCUAAUUGUAUGUUGUACUAUUGAUUGCUUUUACAUGAUCUCGAUCUCCCUUUUUUUAAUUUACCUUAAGGCCUUUUUGCAAUGUUUACGUUUAAGGGCAGGGAAAUUAUAUUCACUCUAUACCAAAUCAAUUGACUGAUUUUUAUCUAUAGCAUUUUUCGUAAGGAUGAUAUAUAUUAUUUAUAUUGUAGUAUGCACUAAGUACGUUAUUAGUACAACUUCAUUACUUAUUAUUGGAACCGACUUGUCGUUCCGCCAAAAGAUCAACUUUGUUUUUCCCUGGACCUCUAAUUUCAUUGGCAUGUUUCUAAAGACUAUUUCUUCCUAUUGUCAAAAACAUGCUUAUGAUAUUAUUGAAAAAAAUUGCUUCGUGUUUGUAGAAAGCAAUGCAUCGCAAUUCAUAGUAUUAUCCUUAUGCUAUAGUAUUUUCAUGAGUUUCAUUUAGCAUGCAUUGGAUGGGACCCAUGCCAUCCCACCUCGAUCUCGAACCGAUUAUUUUUGUUUAACUUUUAUAACUGUGUUUUGUCUUUUUUCCAUAAUAUGUUUCAACUGCUAGCUCUUUUUUUUGGGUAGACAUAGCUCUCUUUUAUUCGUAGUUUCAGUUCUUUCGUGUAGUUUGUUUGCUUUGCUUUGCUUUGCUUUGUUAUGUUUUUUGUUUGUUUUUUGUCCCCUGAUUCUGUUUGACUUCCUUUGAAAUGUCUCUCUUCUGAAGUGGCAAGAAGGCAAUAACAACUAUCUAUUUUGAGCAAAUAUUCGAUCUAUUAUGAAGAAUAUACAGUACAUGAGAAGGAGAAUCGAACAUUUGUAUCAAAAGAGAAGGAGGUGCCAGAUCCUGAUCAAGAGUUCGAAUCCAUAGAUAUGGAGUUCGAUGAUUAUGCUGAUAAUGUGUAUUCAGCAUCUUCGAAAAAGUUCGAGCUAGAAAAGUACUUAGAUGAGACAAGGAGCGAUAAAAAGACAGACUUGGACAAUCUUGAGUAUUGGAAGAUUAACUCCCAACGAUAUUUGACAGUUGCAAGGAUAGCUCGUGAUAUUUUGAGCAUUCAUGUAUCCACAGUUGCCUCCGAGGCAGCAUUCAGCUGUGGAGGUCGUGUUCUCGAUCAGUAUCGGAGUUCUUUGAAACCCGACCUUGUGGAAGCACUCAUGUGCUCUCAAGAUUGGUUUUAUAGAUUAGCCGGUAAGUUUACUUUUCAGAUUUGAUUUCUACAAUUCUUUUGUUGAUCUUUCUCUUUUUUGAAUGUAGAUGGUUGUGGAAUUUCCGUGGAUCAACUCAUAGAGGAUGUGAUGAACUUAAACAUUAGCGAUGAGCCAUCAACUUAAGGGUCCAAUACUGUGGUUACUUAAGGGAGAUAUUAGCUCUUGGGAACAUUAACAAGUCUAUGAAAUGGAAUAUCUCUUGGAAAACAUUGUGAUAUAUGGAGAGUUGUGUCUUUGAUGGAGGAUUACAAGUCAGAAAUUGAGAACUGUGACUUAGGUGCAGGGAUUUACAUUUCAUUUUACUCGAUAAAAAGCUCUUUGCUCGACAAGGAAAACAAUAUGCAUGAACCUGUAUAAUUUGGAUGAGUAUUUGAAAUUUUGUUGAGUUGCGGUGCAA